AACGAACGCUGGCGGCGCGUCUUAAACAUGCAAGUCGAACGAUCUGUAGCAAUACAGGGAGUGGCGGACGGGUGAGGAACACGUAGGAAUCUACCUUGAAGAGCGGGACAACUUUGGGAAACCGGGCUAAUACCGCAUAGUACAGAGAUGUUAAAGGGCUAGCAAUAGUCGCUUCGAGAUGAGCCUGCGGUCUAUCAGCUUGUUGGUGAGGUAAUGGCUCACCAAGGCUACGACGGAUAGCCGGUCUGAGAGGAUGAUCGGCCAACACUGGCACUGAGACACGGGCCAGACUCCUACGGGAGGCAGCAGUUAAGAAUCUUGCGCAAUGGGGGAAACCCUGACGCAGCGACGCCGCGUGAAGGAU
rnacentral:rRNA from 1 species